GGUGGUGCAUGGUCGUCGUCAGCUCGUGUCGUGAGAUGUUGGGUUAAGUCCCGCAACGAGCGCAACCCUUGUUAUUAGUUGCCAGCAUUUAGUUGGGCACUCUAAUGAGACUGCCGGUGAUAAACCGGAGGAAGGUGGGGACGACGUCAGAUCAUCAUGCCCCUUAUGACCUGGGCAACACACGUGCUACAAUGGGAAGUACAACGAGUCGCAAACCGGCGACGGUAAGCUAAUCUCUUAAAACUUCUCUCAGUUCGGACUGGAGUCUGCAACUCGACUCCACGAAGGCGGAAUCGCUAGUAAUCGCGAAUCAGCAUGUCGCGGUGAAUACGUUCCCGGGUCUUGUACACACCGCCCGUCAAAUCAUGGGAGUCGGAAGUACCCAAAGUCGCUUGGCUAACUUUUAGAGGCCGGUGCCUAAGGUAAAAUCGAUGACUGGGAUUAAGUCGUAACAAGGUAGCCGUAGGAGAACCUGCGGCUGGAUCACCUCCUUUCUAAGGA
rnacentral:rRNA from 1 species